rnacentral:rRNA from 1 species
CUCAUCCACCAAUCAUCAGUUCAUCACAGCACGAACGACAUGGCUGCUGCUCCGGUGGUUGUGCCGCGCAUGAAGCUGGGCUCGCAGGGGCUGGAGGUCUCGGCGCAGGGCCUCGGCUGCAUGGGCAUGUCCGCGGCCUACGGCGAGCGCAAGCCCGACCAGGACAUGAUCGCGCUCCUCCGCCACGCCGUCGCCGCCGGCGUCACCUUCCUCGACACCUCCGACAUCUACGGCCCCCACACCAACGAGCUCUUACUCGGCAAGGCGCUGCAGGGAGGGGUGAGGGAGCAGGUCCAAUUGGCCACGAAAUUUGGCAUCACGGCCACCUGGGAGGUCCACGGCGACCCGGCCUACGUGCGGGCGGCGUGCGAGGGCAGCCUCGCCCGGCUCGGCGUCGACUGCAUCGACCUCUACUACCAGCACCGCAUCGACAAGAAUGUCCCCGUGGAGAUCACGAUGGGUGAGAUCAAGAAGUUAGUCCAAGAAGGAAAAGUGAAAUACGUCGGGUUGUCGGAGGCCUCGGCGUCGACAAUAAGAAGGGCACACGCAGUUCAUCCCAUCACCGCCGUUCAGCUGGAGUGGUCUUUGUGGUCAAGAGAUGUCGAAGAAGAUAUAAUCCCAACUUGCAGAGAACUUGGCAUUGGAAUUGUAGCUUACAGUCCACUAGGCAGAGGUUUUCUAUCCAGUGGACCUAAACUAGUGGACACAUUACCAGAAGACGAUUUCCGCAAGAAUCUCCCAAGAUUUCAACCCGAGAACAUGAAGAAGAAUGCAGAGAUAUUCGAGCGCGUGAGCGAGAUGGCUGCGAGGAAGGGUUGCACGUCGUCUCAGCUCGCGCUGGCUUGGGUUCACCACCAGGGAAGCGAUGUGUGCCCCAUACCCGGCACGACGAAAGUUGAGAAUUUCAACCAGAACCUGAGAGCAUUGUCUGUUGAGCUCACGGCUGAGGAGAUGGCUGAGCUCGAGUCCUACGCUGCCAUGGAUGCGGUCCAAGGUGAUCGGUACCACAACACGUUCCUCAACACCUGGAAGGACUCCGAGACCCCUUCCCUGUCAUCCUGGAAAGCCACUUAGUUGGGUAUCAUGGGAAUCAAUCACUAUGCUGAUGCUUCGUAUCACUGGUUUGAAAUAGUUGCAAAUCAAAUAAUUUCACGAGCACUCCGUGCAUGGAUGGAAUCAUGGAACCACCAAUUGUUUACUAAUGUAGCACAAUUCCUGCCCAUGAGUGUUGAACUUUUUAUUAUGCCUGCAAGGAAGUAUCCCCCAAGUGUUGAACUUUUUGGCAGGGCUACAAAGGCCCUUUUGUAACACAUUUUCGUCCGGAAAACCAUUUAGAAUUCCC